rnacentral:rRNA from 1 species
AGCGAACGCUGGCGGCAGGCUUAACACAUGCAAGUCGAGCGGGCAUCUUCGGAUGUCAGCAGCAGACGGGUGAGUAACACGUGGGAACGUACCCUUCGGUUCGGAACAACUCUGGGAAACUGGAGCUAAUACCGGAUACGCCCUUAUGGGGAAAGGUUUACUGCCGAAGGAUCGGCCCGCGUCUGAUUAGCUAGUUGGUGGGGUAACGGCCUACCAAGGCGACGAUCAGUAGCUGGUCUGAGAGGAUGAUCAGCCACACUGGGACUGAGACACGGCCCAGACUCCUACGGGAGGCAGCAGUGGGGAAUAUUGGACAAUGGGCGCAAGCCUGAUCCAGCCAUGCCGCGUGAGUGAUGAAGGCCUUAGGGUUGUAAAGCUCUUUUGUCCGGGACGAUAAUGACGGUACCGGAAGAAUAAGCCCCGGCUAACUUCGUG